rnacentral:lncRNA from 1 species
GAUAUGUGUAUCUUAUGAAAUAUAAAUCUAAAGCUUUUGAUAAGUUCAAGAAGUAUCAAAGUAUGAUCGAGAAAUAAAUUAAAAAAAAAUAUCAAGAUUCUUCGAUCUGAUCAAGGAGGAGAUUACUUAUCCAGUAAAUUUUUUGAUCAUCUUAAGAAUUAUGGUAUUCUCUCUGAAUAGACCCCUCCUUAUAUACCACAGCUAAAUGGUAUAGC